ensembl:lncRNA
UGCAUUUCUGUGCACACAAAAGCUUGACACACAUGAAGAAAACAGAACCAGAGUGCAUUUCUUUCAUUCCUUCAGUCAUUUUUCUUUCAGUUUUUCACCAAACCCAGUCCAACAGAGAAAAGAGAUCUCUCUGCAGGCUGUGUAUGGAAUUAGGGCCCCAGCUGCAAUAUUCAGAUUCAUUGGGCCACCUGGGAUCACUGUAACCCCACACCUAGAAAGUGGCCUCCCUCCUCGCGGUGAGGGCCAUCAAGCAACCCUCUGCUGUGGGCCACGCUGACGUCAGUGGAUUUGAUAGCAGUAAGGGAGCACCAGGAAGGCCCCACCUGCCUGGCUGGGAAAUGGCAAAGUCUUGGUGUUCCUUCACUCACAGCCUCCAUUCACACUGGCUGAGAAGGGCAGAGGAAACAACUUGGAUGUUUCUUCUCCUACCUCUACUUCUCCUCUGUCAAUGGCAUCUUUCCAUCUCUCUACUGACCUGCUUUUUGUUUGUUUUUCUGCCUUUUUUUUUUUUUUUUUAGUUAUUGAAUCUUGUUUCCCCUGCCAAACUGCCUACAGCUCCUGUUCUGUUUAUUAUACUCAGCACAGAAAGGAAUGAAAAGGAACGAAUCUUGGAAGAGAAACAAAAGCCUGCAAUAAGCUGUAUUCUCAAUUACCCUGUAGCAUGCAGACUGAGAACAAGAGGAGUUGCCACGCUGACACAUACAGCUGAAAAUUGGGUUUGCUAGGUACAGCGAUGUUAAAGGCAGCCUUUCAAUGCCUCCCUCCCAGGCUGCCACUGUGCUGUGCCCUUCGCGAGCACUCCACCACUUAUUGGCACAGGUAUAAAAGCAUCCCUUGGACAAGAGACAGCUCAGGUAAGCUCUGGAGAAAUCAAAGCAGGAAAAGCGGAUAAAAGGCAGCAGUAUUUCUGUCACUACCUCACAGACGGGUUUAUUCUCUCUAACAAUUUCCACCUUGGCAAGCUCCAGGUCACUAAAACAACAUCCAGAACAAUGAAUUAAAGAUACUGAAAAAGAUGAUACAGAAUGCAGCAUUCUCACAGAAAUGUAGAAACUCCCCACACUUCCAUGCAUUGGUAAACCUCAGGCCUCCAUAAGGCUGAGCACUUUGUGCCUCGCUCACACUUGCUGAUUUUCAGUGCUAAAUCGUGCUGAAAACAAACAGAUUGUCAGAUCCAGGAAUCUCUGCAGGGCACAGUCCAGCGAUGUGCUUCAGUUCAGGGAUAACUGAACAGGGCUGGAUAACGCACAGACGCUCUCUCUGUGCGCAACAGUUCCCCUGUUACCCUGACAGGGAACAUCAGCCAUUUGUUUCAACGCAUUACUGCUUUCUAUCCUUUUUAGAACCAACUAUGGAGUUAACUGUGAUAUUUUCCCUGAGUGGGCAAACAAAGGAGGGAAGCGCAGAGCCCACCAGCACUGCCUGCUCAGGAUGUGCACUACUGCAGGACUCUGCAGAGAGUCUCCUAAAGACUGUACUGAGGCGGUGUCUCAUACAGAGCCACAUCCUCCUUAUUCUCGUGCAGCAGCAGCUGCAGGGACCUGGGGGAGUAGGAGGGAGGGAGCAGAGCAGCCAGGCAGCGCUCACACAUCCUCACCUGCAGCAGUGGGCAGUGAGCCAGCCUGCCCUCUGGGGGAAGGGGGAAGCGGAGGCAGGUGAUACCUGCUCAGUGUGCGGAGGAUGGCUUUCUGGGGGUUGGCUUUCCUUUCUUUUUUUUCAGGAAGCGUUUAUCUUCUGACAGUUUUCUGUGUGUUUUUUUUUUUUUUUCUAAUUUACAAACAAAACCCCGCUGCAGAUCUCUGAUUUUUUAUUUUUUUUUAUUUUUUGCUAGAAGAACUGAUCCAGAAAACAGAGACUGAUGAGACCCCCUUGUCCCAUAUCCGCCGCUAAUUCCUAGGGCACAUUCCCCUGCCCUGCCACAUUUUCACGAGCAUUGUUUGCAAAGCGCUGUUCUCUCUGAUAACGCGUCUUAAGACAUCUGUCUGUAUCCCUGAAGUUUCCCUCUUGGAUUUUGCAUCCUGAUUCUCUUAAAAACACAUCCUCAUCUGCAGGCAGCUUCAGCUGCCCAUUAUUUUCAUUUCUGGAUCUCUUUUCAGUAACGUGCUCAUUUCUGUGCCUGUCUUCAUAGAGACGUAUCUCUGCGGAGCAGUGUACUCUGAAGGACAAAGCAAACAACUCCUGGAUCCCCUCCCAGGCUAACCGGAGGAGAGGGGCAGGAGAGGAGCUGUUUUGUAUUUGGGAGAAACCCUAAUUCUCAUGGGACUCUGGAUCCUAUGGCACUACAGACAUUUCUCAGAGGAGCCACCACAAAAAAGAAACACCCCAGAAAGCUCGGUGUAUCCGUACUGGGCACACAGUCACACCUGAUGCUCACACAACGCUGGGCAGCCAAGAGCCAAGGGCUCAAAUUCAGUGGUGCACAGGGCUGAGGUUGGCAGAGGCAGAGCAACAAGCACCUUUGGCCCAAUGUAUGGGAACUGUUGAAUCAGGGCCUGAACCUCUGAUUGACCACCUGAGGCAAGCACUGAAUCAGCAGCAGGAGCACAGGUGAAGGCAAUUCAGCUGUGUGGCUGGAAGGGGUGGAGCCAGGCUGCACCUCUCCUAGAUCCCAUUUAAGGGCUGACUGCCAUUGGGGAAGGAUCUCUUUCUGGAGAUUGCUUCUUGUGGAGUUUCUCGUGAGCCUGCAACACUGGUGAGCGCUUUCAUUUAUCUAUGAUUAUCUUUUCCAAUGCGAUAAUCUUACUAAGCCUAACUUCUCUGUAUACGUAUUGUUCAUCCAAUACUUCACAACAUCUGUAUUCUUAUUGACCUUACACCCAACAGAUUAAAAGCGUACGCCAUUACAGCAUGGACAGCAACACUGUGCUGUUCCAUGAUACAGGGAGAAGGUGGGUAAUGCCAAGGCAGGACUCUGGUCACCACAGCCCAAAGGACAGGGCUAAGAUCAGAAGGAAGCCCUCCAGGCACCUUCUCACCUUCCAGCGUGUCAUCCUGAUGGGAUCUCUGUGCAAUCCCUCCUUCCACUUGGCACAAUACACUUUCAUUCACUGUAUCCCCGAUCCCCAGAUAGGGGCUAAGAAGGAGAAAAAAAGGCUUACACUAAAUGUUACUCCCCUAUUUUCUUCUGUACCAAUCUGAUUUACCCAUCUUGAGGGCAGUAGUGAUGGCUUGAUGUCUUAGGGGAUGCACAACUCGCAUACUUGCCAUAAAUAAUGGAUAGCACAUUACACAGUACUUAAUAUUUAAGUACCUGAAGAAGUAAAAGAAAAUGGAAACAAAAUAUCAUUAAGGGACUGACCUGUUUAAGUACUGCAGAAGGUAAAGAAUAUUUCAACUACAUUCUACUUCCCAUUUGGCCACAGGUCCCAAAUGAAAACCCUGAGAUGUUUCUCCAGCCACAUGUAACACUACUACUUACAACAAAAGAGCUGCCUUGCCCAGCACCCUGCAUCUCACUGUACAGCGAGCAGCACAGAUGCCUGUAAGACUGCAUAAAACCAGGACGAGCUCUUGGAAGAAUAUUCUUCCAGGCUAAUUUUUACCUUGGACACUUACCAGACCUAAGGGCAACGUCUUUAUAUUUUAAUCAUUCUUGAUGUAUUCUUUUUCAUCCUCAAAUUUUCAGAGUGCUUUCUGAAGCUGUGUAACUCCAGCUAUAACAGUAACAUGCCACACAACUUCUUUGUGACAAGGAAGUCCUCAGCCUUGGCAUAUUCAACUUUGUUCCUACCAGAUUCAACAUGAUUCCUACCAGAUCUUUGCCUGCAAAACAGUCUGCAGAAGAUUUUUUUUUUUUCCAGUCACUUUCUCCAGGCUAUGUAUGGCUUUAUAGACUUGUAUCAAAUCUCUUCCUUUCAGCUAUCUCUUUUCCAGGGUGAGAAGUCCUAAUCUACUCAGGUGUCCCUGUCACAAAAGCCACUGUGCAUCCAGAUUGCUUUGGUCAUCCUGCUCCAUGUCUCCUCCACAUCUGAUGUGUUUCCUGAGGGGCAGAGGGCAGGGCACCAUGUGCUGGUCACAAUGGAUGUACUGUUUGGACUUAGAAUAUAUAUGGCAUAAUUGUGGUUUCAACUUAGACUAUUCUGUUCCCAGCAUUCAGUUUGAGUUUUUGACCACUGCUGAAAGGCCUGAACUGACAGUCGCUUCAACUUAUCUACCAAUAUCAAAAAGAAAACACUGCUCCUGAGUGAUAAAAUAUUGGGACAGUUUCUUCCUAUUUACUACCCUUUAUGUUUAUCUGUACUGAAUUUCAUCUGCACUUCCUUUACCUGGCUCUCAAUUUGAGAUGAUCAUUUUGCAACUGACUCAUUUCCCUGAAAAAACUGAGCUCAUCAUCCAACUUCACCAUCUGACUGCAGCCCUGCUUUUCCACCUUGUUUGUGAGCCUAUCAAACACCACAGCCUGAGCACAGGUCCCUACAGAACCAGCCUUGUGACUUUCCUCCACUGCGGAAGCUUCAACCUUUUAUUUCUACCUCCUACUUCCCAAUUUUAAUUGAUUUUUCUGAAGCACCUCACUGUCACUGCGUGGCACCUGCAUUCCUUAACAGCUCUUUGAUGCUUUUUGUAAAUCCAAGUAAGUUAUAUCACCAGUCUGGCCCAUCCACUCCUCCAGUCCUACCCGACAGAUUACUAUAUCAUGAUUUUCAUUGCAAACCCCCGGAUGGCUCUUUGUCACUGAUAUUUAUUGAUAUUCCCACUCAUUCCAUUAUUAUUACAGCUUUUGCCAAUGUAUUUAUUGCAUAUACUAGGUUUACCACCGUGGAGCUCUGGGAACCUCACAGGAAACACUUAAAAUAGGAUGUUAAACUGGUGUUUGUCUUCCGGUACCGGGACAUAAGCCAGGAGUGCACACUGGAGUGCCCCAUGACCUCCCUCUCCCCUCCUGGAAUCUUUCAGUAGGUCUGCAGGUUUAAAGAGACAAGACGGAGAACACGGAAGACAUCAACACCUUCCAGCAAUCCAAAUAAAUAAACAUCAUUUUUGAUGUCAGUCCUUUAAUGGCUGUCCUCCUCCUUGAAUAUUAAGAAUAUCAUCACAGAACCUAGAAAGCCAGCCAGAAGAGUUGUGAUUUUUACUAAAUGGUAUUAACAAAACCAAAGCUAAAAAAGCAUGAGAAAUGGAGAGUAAUGCUGCAUUUUGUAUAGAUCUUCUAUUGUGGCGCUGCACGUUUGGUUUCAUUAAACUGUCUAAUUUCAGAAUAUAAGUGUUUCUGAACAAACUUUCUUUACCCAGUAAACUUUCAUUUUUUUCUUCACUAAAGUAAUUCAAUAAGUAAACUCAGUAAGAUUGCAGGUGACACUAAGUUGGCAGGAAGUGUCAAUCUGCCUGGGAGUAGAAGGCACUUCAGAGGGAUCUGGACAGGCUGGGCUGAGGCCAAUGGGAUGAAGUCCAACAACACCAACAGCCAGGUACUGCAUUUUGGCCACGAGAACCCCAGGCACCGCUACAGCCUUGGGGCAGAGUGGCUAGAAGACUGUGUUGGAAGAAAUGGACCUGGGGGUGUUGGUCUGUGCUCAGCUGAAUGUGUGCCCAGGUGACCCUAAGGUUGAUGGCAUCCUGGCUUCUAUCAAAAAUAGUGUUGUCAGCAGGAGCAGGGAGGUGAUUAUCUCUCUGUACUCAGCUCUUUUCCUACCUUAAUGAUACUACAAUUCUAAAGUUUUUAGAAAAACAUCUUCUGUUCUGCUGAGUUUUAAACAUAUUUAUGUGUGAAGAAUAAACUUAUUCUCCAC